rnacentral:rRNA from 1 species
GGUGAACGCUGGCGGCGUGCCUAAUACAUGCAAGUCGAGCGAACGGACGAGAAGCUUGCUUCUCUGAUGUUAGCGGCGGACGGGUGAGUAACACGUGGAUAACCUACCUAUAAGACUGGGAUAACUUCGGGAAACCGGAGCUAAUACCGGAUGAUAUUUUGAACCGCAUGGUUCAAAAGUGAAAGACGGUCUUGCUGUCACUUAUAGAUGGAUCCGCGCUGCAUUAGCUAGUUGGUAGGGUAACGGCUUACCAAGGCAACGAUGCAUAGCCGACCUGAGAGGGUGAUCGGCCACACUGGAACUGAGACACGGUCCAGACUCCUACGGGAGGCAGCAGUAGGGAAUCUUCCGCAAUGGGCGAAAGCCUGACGGAGCAACGCCGCGUGAGUGAUGAAGGUCUUCGGAUCGUAAAACUCUGUUAUUAGGGAAGAACAUAUGUGUAAGUAACUGUGCACAUCUUGACGGUACCUAAUCAGAAAGCCACGGCUAACUACGUG